UUCUGGUCGGUCGUCUUCUUCCUCCCGUCGUCGAACUGAGCGCCCAAAUUGAAAGUCUCUGCUUUUCUUCUGCAAUCUCUCUCUCUCUAUCUCUAUCUCUCUUCCUCUCACUCUCUCAAUAUCUCUCUCUCUCUCUCUCUCUCUUGCUCUCUCUCUGUCUGAAUCUACAGUCAGAGGCUGUGGGGUUGGGGAUGGAUUACUUGUGGGAGGUGGAGAGAGCGGCUGUUCUUCCCGCGGGUCGCCUGCCGGAGACGUUGAUGCCUUCGACCAGUGGGAAAUUCGAGGAGCUGUUCCCGGGAGGGAAUCCGGUAGGUCACCAUGGAAUCUGUUCUUCGUUUGAUAGUUCGUCAGUGAGAGGCCUCCUUCUCCACUCCCCUGUUGUUCCACCCCCCUGGGGUUUCCAAAUUAGGAGAUUUCGCCAGCCGAGUGUGGUUCCAUCUCUCUCUCUCUCUCUCUCUNNNNN
rnacentral:lncRNA from 1 species